rnacentral:lncRNA from 1 species
AGGGGAAGAAUCCAAAAAAGAAAAAAGAAAAAAAAGAGAUAAAUUUGAACACUGAUUUCUAAUCAUGGUAUGGGUUAGCAAGAACCUCUAAAUAUAAUGAUCUUAGCUAUUUACCAAAUCAUUUGAUAGCUCACUUUCUGAACUUACCAGUAUUUUUUUUCCUCAGUGGUGAGUAAUGAGAUAUAAUGAUUAAUCUAAUAUUCCAGUUAUACUUGCCACGGAUACAUAUUAACUCAACACAGCUGAAUUUCAGUAUUUCUAGACUUCUGGCUACUUUACAUGCAAGCUGAAAAUAUUUUAUUUUUAAAGGGAAGUGACUAAGAGUUAUUAGUAUACAUUUUAAAUUCCUACUAAAAUACUGAUUUCAAUUCAGAGUUCAAAGAAUGAAACUGUGUGUGUGUGUGUGUGUGUGUGUGUGUGUGUGUGUGUGUGUGUGUGUGUGAUUCCGAUGCUUAUUUUCAAAGGGUUGAGAGACAAUGCAUUUACAUUUAUUCUUGAAAGGAGAAAAACUUGCAUGUAAUUUUAGGCUCACAUAAAGGAAAACCUAUGGCUCCAUAGAUAGCUUAAGAUUUAUUUUUGCAUGUUUGCAUCUCUAUAAGCUUAAUAGUGUUUUUUCCAAUCAGAGGACACUAGCUAUCGGAGUAUAAAACAUUGCCUUGAUGGUUUUCAGCUUUCUUGUUCUCUGGAAGAACCCUAAAACCAAACUGAGUUUUAUAUCCUACCACUAGGAUUAUAUUCCAGAGGAGUUUCCAGAUACUUCCUGUGACAAAAUUGUAUAUUCAUGAGGCAAUGUAUAAUGAAAAAGAGGGGAUUUUGAGUGUGUAUUUCACCAACAUCCUUUUGAAAAUUUAGAAGGAAAACACAUGCCCCAAGAGGCAAGGUAUGGGGAAAGCAAGAAUUCUUGCACUGUUUUGGAAAGGAGGAGAUAAUUGUUUACAAACUUCCAGGAAAUCACUUGUGUAAAUGGUCUUAAAAGAAACUAGUGGGGGUGGGGGUGGGGGACAGCUCAAGAUGGUGGAAGAGUAAGACUUCUCAAUCACAUCAAAAAAACACAUCUACAAGUAAAAAAACUCACACAGAAUAUCUAUUGAAUGCUGGCAGAAGAGCUUAAGCCUCCAAAACGGACAAGAAACUCUUGACAUAACUGGGUAGAACAAAAGAGAAAGGGAGAGAGAGAGAAGGAAUCAGGAUGAGACUAGCACUUCUGAGAGGGAGCUGAGGAGAAAAGAAACCCACACUCUGGGAAGCCACCUAACUGACUGGGAGAUCAGCCGAGAUGGAGGGACAUCAAAGUCGCUGAGAAAAUUGCAGCAGCUGGAUGGAGGAGGGUAAAGUAGAGGGAGAGCCCCACAAAUCAUCUGCAACACUGCCCCUGAGACACUUGGGUGGGGGCUGGCCACUGAGACUUAGGCUCUGGAGGUCUGUCCCAGGAAGAAGACUAGGGUUGGCUGUGUGGGGACAGCCUAAGAGGCUAAGGAGAGUGUGCCAUGGGCAGGGGAGUGGUGUGCUAUGGGCUGGGGAGUGGAACGCCAUGGCAGAGGGAACCUGGAAGAAGGUCUGGGCCUGCAGAGGGACACGGUGCCAUUCUUAGGAAGGGUGAGAGGAGGAGGGGUGGACCGUCAUAGGAAUCUCCCUGCACAUGCAUGCAUGAUCUCAGACUCUCAGAGGAUGAGGCACAUCUGGUGCAGGUUAUGGGUGGCAAGCAGUGGUGGUGAGAAGACACUAACCCAGGCUAUGGGGAGACCAGGCGAUUCUUGUGCAGGCUAUGGGUGGCUGGGCAUUUCUUAGGUGGGCUAAGUGUAGUGGGAGGCUAAGUGCAACGUGAAUGAUCUACAGACAGCAGGGACGGACUGUGGAGGUCGUCUUGGAGACCAGAGGGAGGCAUGGCCUACCACCACUGGGAGCCUGUGAGUGAGCUCCACCUGCAGCCCCAGUCACCUCACAGAUCAGCAAAAACAAACAAACAAAACCACUGUACUGCAACCAAGCAUCACACAUUAUUGCUCUCACUCCCCUGGAAUACACCCACCCUGAAGCUGCCACUGCCAAACACUCUGGGUAGCACCCAGGCACUUGAUCACUGUCCCUUCCCAAGACCCUACUAGGAGCAGCCAGUACAGCACUUCCUGCAUGGGCUAAGUGGGACGGGGUGCUUCUUGCAUGGUCUGCAAGUGGUGGGGGAAAAUCACCAGUUAUCUCUGACUCCAGAGGUGGGCAUAGCUCACCUCCACUGGGAAUCCCUGAGCAAGAACCACUUGCAGCCCCAACCACCUCAGAGGGUAGCACAAAGGAGGACAUUGCCACAGAACACCACAUGUUGUUGCUUUGGCUUCCCUGGGAGCACACCCACCCUGCUGCUGCCACUGCCAGAUUCUCUGGGCAGUGCCCAAUUCUUGAUCACUGUCCCUCCCCAGGAACCUACAACUAGGAGCAGCUGGUGCAACACCUCCUGUGGGGGCUAAGUGGAAUGAGGUGCUUCUUGCAUGGUCUAAAAUUGGUGGGGGCAAACCACCUCAGUUAUUUAUGACUCUAGAGGUGGGCGUGUCCUGCCACCACUAGGGAUCUGAGAACAGGCACAACUUU